rnacentral:lncRNA from 10 species
GGAGUUGAGCCCAAUCUCUCUUCCCCACUGCAAGACCCUGGUGCAGUGGUUCCUAUACCUAUUGCGAUGGUCCUGAAGAAAGUCUUCCUUGACAUGCUUUAACAUGUGUUAUUGAAUAACAUUUUAACAGUUAUGGUGCUGCAACUCAGAUAGGACCAGAUUCAUCCCUGGACGUAGCUUCUCCCUAGGACAUUAAGUGAGUGCCUUUGAAGUCUUUGUCUUCCUUCCUGACUGACUCAUCAGGAAGUCAGACUCCCGAACCAUUGCUCCAAAUAUCCGUUGAAGCAGGGCUAUGGGAGCUGGAGCGGAGAGGAGAGAAGCACCUUGCCUUUGCUGGUGUUUUUCCCGCAGCAGAUGGAGUCUCGCUCUAUCACCCAGGCUGGAGUGCAAUGGCGCGAUCUUGGCUCACCGCAACCUCCAUCUCCCAGGUGGACCAUGCUAGAUUGUCCCAGCCUGCCCUGUGCUUCAUUAGCCGGUCAACAGAUCCAUCUCAAAUACCUCCCAUGGGUACUCACUGAUUGCUUUAACCCAAACCAUGGCACUCUUGAAGACUUUCCCUCAGGAAGCUCAAGGACUAUGCAUCCUUCUGGGUC